CACGUAGGGUGCAAGCGUUGUCCGGAAUUAUUGGGCGUAAAGAGCUCGUAGGCGGUCUGUCGCGUCGGCUGUGAAAACCCGGGGCUCAACCCCGGGCCUGCAGUCGAUACGGGCAGACUAGAGUGCGGUAGGGGAGACUGGAAUUCCUGGUGUAGCGGUGAAAUGCGCAGAUAUCAGGAGGAACACCGGUGGCGAAGGCGGGUCUCUGGGCCGUAACUGACGCUGGGGAGCGAAAGCGUGGGGAGCGAACAGG
rnacentral:rRNA from 1 species